UGGGGAAUAUUGGACAAUGGGGGGAACCCUGAUCCAGCCAUGCCGCGUGUGUGAAGAAGGCCUUAUGGUUGUAAAGCACUUUAAGCGAGGAGGAGGGUACUGGUAUUAAUACUACCAGCUACUGGACGUUACUCGCAGAAUAAGCACCGGCUAACUCUGUGCCAGCAGCCGCGGUAAUACAGAGGGUGCAAGCGUUAAUCGGAAUUACUGGGCGUAAAGCGCGCGUAGGUGGUUCGUUAAGUUGAAUGUGAAAGCCCCGGGCUCAACCUGGGAACUGCAUCCAAAACCGGCGAGCUAGAGGAGGGGAGGGGGUGGUAGAAUUUCCUGUGUAGGGGGGGAAAGCGUAGGUAUAGGGAGGGACACCAGUGGCGAAGGCGAUCACCUGGGCUCAUACUGACACUGAGGUGCGAAAGCGUGGGGAGCAAACAGG
rnacentral:rRNA from 1 species